CUACUUUCCUCAGUUAGCUUCAGGCCCCACUGAGGAGAAGUGUGAAGUUAGAAAGCUGAUGAAGCCAUUUCCUGCUUUAAUUAUUAUAUUCUGUUUUGCACAGAGAAUAAAUCCUGGUUGGCAAGAAAGAAGUCGUUCUCAUUUACACAACAUAACACAACG